rnacentral:rRNA from 1 species
GGGUUGUGAGGUUAAGCGACUAAGCGUACACGGUGGAUGCCCUGGCAGUCAGAGGCGAUGAAGGGCGUGCUAAUCUGCGAUAAGCGCCGGUAAGGUGAUAUGAACCGUUAUAACCGGCGAUACCCGAAUGGGGAAACCCAGUGUGAUUCGUCACACUAUCAUUAACUGAAUCCAUAGGUUAAUGAGGCGAACCGGGGGAACUGAAACAUCUAAGUACCCCGAGGAAAAGAAAUCAACCGAGAUUCCCCCAGUAGCGGCGAGCGAACGGGGAGGAGCCCAGAGCCUGAAUCAGCAUGUGUGUUAGUGGAAGCGUCUGGAAAGGCGCGCGAUACAGGGUGACAGCCCCGUACACAAAAGCGCAUGUGCUGUGAGCUCGAUGAGUAGGGCGGGACACGUGGUAUCCUGUCUGAAUAUGGGGGGACCAUCCUCCAAGGCUAAAUACUCCUGACUGACCGAUAGUGAACCAGUACCGUGAGGGAAAGGCGAAAAGAACCCCGGCGAGGGGAGUGAAAAAGAACCUGAAACCGUGUACGUACAAGCAGUGGGAGCCCCACCACUAAGCCAGUGGUGAACUCCACAUACGCAUCCUUUGCUGAGGAUACGGUUAACGGAGCGAAAGCGACGUUCAACCGCAAAAGAAGCAGAGGGGGCUUAGUGGUGGGGUGACUGCGUACCUUUUGUAUAAUGGGUCAGCGACUUAUAUUCUGUAGCAAGGUUAACCGAAUAGGGGAGCCGGAGGGAAACCGAGUCUUAAUUGGGCGUUAAGUUGCAGGGUAUAGACCCGAAACCCGGUGAUCUAGCCAUGGGCAGGUUGAAGGUUGGGUAACACUAACUGGAGGACCGAACCGACUAAUGUUGAAAAAUUAGCGGAUGACCUGUGGCUGGGGGUGAAAGGCCAAUCAAACCGGGAGAUAGCUGGUUCUCCCCGAAAGCUAUUUAGGUAGCGCCUCGUGAAUUCAUCUCCGGGGGUAGAGCACUGUUUCGGCUAGGGGGCCAUCCCGGCUUACCAACCCGAUGCAAACUGCGAAUACCGGAGAAUGUUAUCACGGGAGACACACGGCGGGUGCUAACGUCCGUCGUGAAGAGGGAAACAACCCAGACCGCCAGCUAAGGUCCCAAAGUCAUGGUUAAGUGGGAAACGAUGUGGGAAGGCCCAGACAGCCAGGAUGUUGGCUUAGAAGCAGCCAUCAUUUAAAGAAAGCGUAAUAGCUCACUGGUCGAGUCGGCCUGCGCGGAAGAUGUAACGGGGCUAAACCAUGCACCGAAGCUGCGGCAGCGACACUCAGGUGUUGUUGGGUAGGGGAGCGUUCUGUAAGCCUGUGAAGGUGUGUCGUGAGGCAUGCUGGAGGUAUCAGAAGUGCGAAUGCUGACAUAAGUAACGAUAAAGCGGGUGAAAAGCCCGCUCGCCGGAAGACCAAGGGUUCCUGUCCAACGUUAAUCGGGGCAGGGUGAGUCGACCCCUAAGGCGAGGCCGAAAGGCGUAGUCGAUGGGAAACGGGUUAAUAUUCCCGUACUUGGUGUUACUGCGAAGGGGGGACGGAGAAGGCUAUGUUGGCCGGGCGACGGUUGUCCCGGUUUAAGCGUGUAGGUGUGUGUUCCAGGUAAAUCCGGUUCACUUUAACACUGAGGCGUGACGACGAGGCACUACGGUGCUGAAGCAACAAAUGCCCUGCUUCCAGGAAAAGCCUCUAAGCAUCAGGUAACAUCAAAUCGUACCCCAAACCGACACAGGUGGUCAGGUAGAGAAUACCAAGGCGCUUGAGAGAACUCGGGUGAAGGAACUAGGCAAAAUGGUGCCGUAACUUCGGGAGAAGGCACGCUGACACGUAGGUGAAGUGAUUUACUCAUGGAGCUGAAGUCAGUCGAAGAUACCAGCUGGCUGCAACUGUUUAUUAAAAACACAGCACUGUGCAAACACGAAAGUGGACGUAUACGGUGUGACGCCUGCCCGGUGCCGGAAGGUUAAUUGAUGGGGUCAGCGCAAGCGAAGCUCCUGAUCGAAGCCCCGGUAAACGGCGGCCGUAACUAUAACGGUCCUAAGGUAGCGAAAUUCCUUGUCGGGUAAGUUCCGACCUGCACGAAUGGCGUAAUGAUGGCCAGGCUGUCUCCACCCGAGACUCAGUGAAAUUGAACUCGCUGUGAAGAUGCAGUGUACCCGCGGCAAGACGGAAAGACCCCGUGAACCUUUACUAUAGCUUGACACUGAACAUUGAGCCUUGAUGUGUAGGAUAGGUGGGAGGCUUUGAAGUGUGGACGCCAGUCUGCAUGGAGCCGACCUUGAAAUACCACCCUUUAAUGUUUGAUGUUCUAACGUGGACCCGUAAUCCGGGUUGCGGACAGUGUCUGGUGGGUAGUUUGACUGGGGCGGUCUCCUCCUAAAGAGUAACGGAGGAGCACGAAGGUUGGCUAAUCCUGGUCGGACAUCAGGAGGUUAGUGCAAUGGCAUAAGCCAGCUUGACUGCGAGCGUGACGGCGCGAGCAGGUGCGAAAGCAGGUCAUAGUGAUCCGGUGGUUCUGAAUGGAAGGGCCAUCGCUCAACGGAUAAAAGGUACUCCGGGGAUAACAGGCUGAUACCGCCCAAGAGUUCAUAUCGACGGCGGUGUUUGGCACCUCGAUGUCGGCUCAUCACAUCCUGGGGCUGAAGUAGGUCCCAAGGGUAUGGCUGUUCGCCAUUUAAAGUGGUACGCGAGCUGGGUUUAGAACGUCGUGAGACAGUUCGGUCCCUAUCUGCCGUGGGCGCUGGAGAACUGAGGGGGGCUGCUCCUAGUACGAGAGGACCGGAGUGGACGCAUCACUGGUGUUCGGGUUGUCAUGCCAAUGGCACUGCCCGGUAGCUAAAUGCGGAAGAGAUAAGUGCUGAAAGCAUCUAAGCACGAAACUUGCCCCGAGAUGAGUUCUCCCUGAGACUUAGAGUCUCCUGAAGGAACGUUGAAGACGACGACGUUGAUAGGCCGGGUGUGUAAGCGCAGCGAUGCGUUGAGCUAACCGGUACUAAUGAACCGUGAGGCUUAACCUUACAACGCCGAAG